AGUGAGCGCUGGCGGGAGGCCUGACACAUGCAAGUCGAACGGCAGCACGAGCAGCGCUGGCUUCGAGGGGCGGCGAGUGGCGUACGCCAGCGGAAUACACCGGAAUCUACUUUAUCACGGGGCAUAACCUAGGCCAACUUCCCCUAAUACCUCAUACGACAUACGGGUGAAAGCAGGGCAUCGUCGGACCUUGCCCGCUUGAGUGAGCCGAUGUCGGAUUAGCUAGUUAGCGGGGUAAAGGCCCACCAAGGCGACGCUCCGUAGCUGGUCUGAGAGGAUGACCAGCCACACUGGCACUGCGACACGGUCCAGACUCCUACGGGAGGCAGCAGUGGGGAAUCUUGGACAAUGGGCGAAAGCCUGAUCCAGCCAUACCGCGUGUACGAUGAAGGCCUUCGGGUUGUAAACCACUUUUGUCGGGAAAGAAAAGCAGCUUGUUAAUAAACCGAGUUUAUGACGGUACCCAAAGAAUAAGCACCGGCUAACUACGUG
rnacentral:rRNA from 1 species